rnacentral:rRNA from 1 species
AGCAGCCGCGGUAAUUCCAGCUCCAAUAGCGUAUAUUAAAGUUGUUGCAGUUAAAAAGCUCGUAGUUGAAUUUCGGGGUUUAUCCGUCGGUCGGGCUUUUGGGUCUGUACUGGCGUGAUGGAUUCCUACCUUCUGAAUAACCGGCAUGUCAUUAAUUUGGUGCGCCGGGGAAGCAGGACUGUUACCUUAAAAAAAUUAGAGUGCUUAAAGCAGGCUUAUGCCUGAAUACAUUAGCAUGAAAUAAUGAAAUAGGACGGCAUGGUUCUAUUUUGUUGGUUUCUAGGAUCACCGUAAUGAUUAAUAGGGAUAGUUGGGGGCAUUAGUAUUCAAUUGUCAGAGGUGAAAUUCUUGGAUUUAUUGAAGACUAACUUCUGCGAAAGCAUUUGCCAAGGAUGUUUUCAUUAAUCAAGAACGAAAGUUAGGGGAUCGAAGACGAUCAGAUACCGUCGUAGUCUUAACCAUAAACUAUGCCAACUAGGGAUCGGACGAUGUUAAUUUUUUAAUGACUCGUUCGGCGCCUUACG